UGGCUCAGGAUGAACGCUGGCGGUCUGCUUAACACAUGCAAGUCGAACGGAAUCCUUAGGGAUUUAGUGGCGGACGGGUGAGUAACACGUAAGAACCUGCCUCUAGGACGGGGACAACAGUUGGAAACGACUGCUAAACCCGGAUGAGCCGAAAGGUAAAAGAUUAAUCGCCUAGAGAGGGGCUUGCGUCUGAUUAGCUAGUUGGUGAGGUAAGAGCCCACCAAGGCGACGAUCAGUAGCUGGUCUGAGAGGAUGAUCAGCCACACUGGGACUGAGACACGGCCCAGACUCCUACGGGAGGCAGCAGUGGGGAAUUUUCCGCAAUGGGCGAAAGCCUGACGGAGCAAGACCGCGUGGGGGAGGAAGGUUCUUGGAUUG
rnacentral:rRNA from 1 species